UACGAAGGGUGCAAGCGUUAAUCGGAAUUACUGGGCGUAAAGGGUGCGUAGGCGGUUCGUUAAGUCUGUCGUGAAAUCCCCGGGCUCAACCUGGGAAUGGCGAUGGAUACUGGCGAGCUAGAGUGUGUCAGAGGAUGGUGGAAUUCCCGGUGUAGCGGUGAAAUGCGUAGAGAUCGGGAGGAACACCAGUGGCGAAGGCGGCUAUCUGGGCUGGAACUGACGCUGAGGCGCGAAGGCUAGGGGAGCAAACAGG
rnacentral:rRNA from 1 species